rnacentral:lncRNA from 1 species
GUCCCUGUUUGUGGGUGGUGUCUGUGGGUGACUGUAGUGGUGUCACGGUGCUGGUGAAGUCACGGUGUUGGUGAAGUCACGGUGUUGGUGAAGUCACGGUGUUGGUGAAGUCACGGUGUUGGCGGUGUCACGGCGGCCUCCAGGCGCUGGGGCUGGAGCGGGUGUCGCGGGAGGAGCUGG